GCGUCUGUAGCUCAUGUUGGUUAGAGCCACCACCUUGACAUGGUGGGGGUCGAAUGGUUCGAGUCCAUUCAGACGCACCA
rnacentral:tRNA from 1 species